GGGGCCCCCCCGGGGGGGGCGCCUGCGUUUUUUUUUGACUCAACGCGGAAAAACUCACCCCCCCAGGACACAAAAAGGAUUGACAGAAUGAUAUCUUUUUCUUGAUUUUGGGGGGGGGGGUGCAUGGCCGCUCUUAGUGGUGGAGCGAUUUGUCUGGUUAAUUCCGAUAACGAACGAGACUCUAGCCUAUUAAAUACCCGAUAUAUUAUUCCUUUCUCGCGCUUCUUAGAGGCACGGGCAGCUUCCAGCUGCACCAGAUAGAACAAUAACAGGUCUGUGAUGCCCUUAGAUGUCGGGGGCGGCCCGCGCGCUACAAUGAUAAUAGCAGCGUGCAUUACCUUGUUUUCUGGAAAGAAUUGGCCAAACCAAAUAUUGUCGUGUUUGGGAUGGGGAGAUUGAAUUUAUUGCCCUUCACUAAGAAACUCCAGGCAAUGCGCGACCCAUUAUCUUGUUUGAUCACCUCCCCUGCCCUGUGCACACCCCGCCCGCGCUACUACAGUAGUGGAAGAUAUGAUGUAU
rnacentral:rRNA from 1 species